rnacentral:rRNA from 1 species
CCUACGGGUGGCAGCAGUGGGGAAUAUUGGGCAAUGGAGGAAACUCUGACCCAGCAACGCCGCGUGAAUGAUGAAGGUCUUCGGAUUGUAAAGUUCUUUUCUAAGGGAAGAAGAAAGUGACGGUACCUUAGGCAUAAGCCUCGGCUAACUAAGUGCCAGCAGCCGCGGGAAUACGUAGGAGGCAAGCGGUAUCCGGAUAGACUGGGCGGAAAGGGGGCGUAGGGGGUUUGAAAAGUUGGUAGCGUAACUCCGGGGCUCAACCUCGGCACUACUACCAAAACUGUCGGACUUGAGUGCAGGAGGGGCAAAUGGAAUUCCUAGUGUAGCGGUGGAAUGCGUAGAUAUUAGGAGGAACACCAGUGGCGAAGGCGAUUUGCUGGACUGUAACUGACACUGAGGCACGAAAGCGUGGGGAGCAAACAGGAUUAGAUACCCCAGUAGUC